rnacentral:lncRNA from 1 species
CUAGACUUUCUAAUCUAACUGGAGGUUGAGAUUUUCCUCUGUAAAAUUACAGUUUUAUCACUUUGAUGCUACCAAACGAGAGACCAACUGGGUUCUUAUUCCAAUCCUGUCAAUUGUUGUCUCUCGAUGCUUCCCAAACCUGUCAAUUGUUUUCUCUCGAUGCUUCUCAAACCUGUCAAUUGUUGUCUCUCGAUGCUUCCCAAACGUGUCAAUUGUUGUCUCUCGAUGCUUCUCAAACCUGUCAAGUGUUUUCUCUCGAUGCUUCUCAAACCUGUCAAUUGUUGUCUCUCGAUGCUUCCCAAACGUGUCAAUUGUUGUCUCUCGAUGCUUCUCAAACCUGUCAAGUGUUUUCUCUUGAUGCUUCCCAAACCCCCAAAUGUAGUGUAUCACUGCAUGAGCUGUUGAUGGCUUGAUUGAAGCCAUCCUGGCCUGGGAGAGCUUGAGGCACUCUGUAGCCAUUCUGAUUCUGGUCUCACUGGCCUUGAGAUGAUAUAUUAAAGAUGACCUGUAGGAUGAAUCCCCCAGACACUGGGCCUGGUCCACCACAGCAACAGAGGGAGAGGGACUGAGAUGUGAUUCUCAUCUUCUCAUUGGCAUAUUGGGGUAGUGGGUAGCAUGUUGACGAGGUGACUGGCUGACUGGUUGGAGGGGUGACCAGGUGGAGGGGUGACCAGGUGGAGAGGUGACCGGGUGGAGGGUUGACCGGGUGGAGGGGUGACCGGGUGGAGGGGUGACCGGGUGGAGGGGUGACCGGGUGGAGGGUUGACCGGGUGGAGGGGUGACCGGGUGGAGAGGUGACCGGGUGGAGGGGUGACCGGGUGGAGAGGUGACCGGGUGGAGAGGUGACCAGGUGGAGGGUUCACCAGGUGGAGGGGUGACCACGUGACUGGCUGACUGACAUCCCAAAUGGCAUCCUAUUCCAUAGGGCCCUGCUCAAAACUAGUGCACUAAAUAGGGAAUAGGGUGCCAUUUGGGAUGUCGCCUGGGGGAAAUCUACAACACAGAGAGAUGCAUGUAAUUAAUAUAAUUAUUAACCAUGGGGAAAUAUCUAUAUUUUUUUAAGCAGUACAUUUAGGCUUAUUGCAAAAGUUUCAACAAUACAAUGAUAUGCACAGCACGAAUUGCAAACUUGUAGUGCAGUUUUGAAAAGGCUUCUAAAGAAUGUAAUUUCAAUUUUGAAAUUUCAGACUUCAUUUGCCCUAACUAAAAAUGUAUCAAUCCCUACAAAAAUGGCCAUUAAUUAUAACUGAAGAACCUACAUGUGUAACUGAUUAAAACCCUGAUAUUUGAAUGGUACCUCAAGGAUUGCCAAUGGAAACACAUUUAAGUCAAACUUGAGUUUCCAACAACCAGAGAGAGCUAUGUGUUUGUUAGUCAUGCCUUAAAGGUUAGAGAGUUGAUUACAGUACCUACCAUAUUGGACAAGCCAGGAUACCCUAUACUCUGAGAGACAAGCCAGGAUACCCUCUACUCUGAGAGACAAGCCAGGAUACCCUCUACUCUGAGAGACAAGUCAGGAUACCCUCUACUCUGAGAGACAAGCCAGGAUACCCUCUACUCUGAGAGACAAGCCAGGAUACCCUCUACUCUGAGAGACAAGUCAGGAUACCCUCUACUCUGAGAGACAAGCCAGGAUACCCUCUACUCUGAGAGACAAGCCAGGAUACCCUCUACUCUGAGAGACAAUGACUCUGCUGCCCUCCUUUGGCUAGGGACAGUCACUGUUUAUAUUUUUUAACAUUUAUUUAACUAGGCAAGUCAGUUAAGAACAAAUUAUUAUUUACAAUGAAUGACAGAGCCUACUCCAGCCAAACCCGGACAACGCUAGGACAAUUAUACACCACCCUAUGGGAAUCCUAAUCACAGCCAGAUGUGAUACAGCCUGGAAUCGAACCAGGUCCUGCAGUGAGAUGCAGUGUCUUAGACCGCUGUGUCACUCGGGAGCCCUGUUCCAGCUCAUAGCGGGUUGAUGUUCUCCAGUUUGGGCCCGAACUCCUUGAAGUCCGGUCUGUCUGCAGGGUUGUCACGCCAACAGCUGAGCAUGAGUUUGUAGAGGAAGUCUGGCUAUUUAUCUGGAGCCAGCAAGGAUCUGACUGGACACCUUUUGUUUGUUUCUUUAGC